UACAGAGGGUGCGAGCGUUAAUCGGAAUUACUGGGCGUAAAGCGCGCGUAGGCGGCUUUUCAAGUCGAUUGUGAAAUCCCCGGGCUUAACCUGGGAACUGCAGUCGAGACUGUCUAGCUAGAGUAUGGGAGAGGGAAGUGGAAUUUCAGGUGUAGCGGUGAAAUGCGUAGAUAUCUGGAGGAAUACCGGUGGCGAAGGCGGCAUCCUGGACCGGCAUUGACGCUGAUGAGCGAAAGCUAGGGGAGCAAACGGG
rnacentral:rRNA from 1 species